AGUACAGAUAUGGCGUUCUUGGACUAGCUUAUGUAGCAAGUACGGGUGCAACUUUUUGUACUACAAGUUU
rnacentral:sRNA from 1 species